rnacentral:rRNA from 1 species
AUUGAACGCUGGCGGCAGGCUUAACACAUGCAAGUCGAACGAGUGGCGGACGGGUGAGUAAUGAUUGGGAAUCUAGCUUAUGGAGGGGGAUAACUACGGAAAACUGUAGCUAAUCCCGCGUACCAUAGGAUGAGCCAAAGGUGGAUUCGGUAGUGUGUGAGGUAAAGGCUCACCAAGCAGACGAUCUCUAGCUGGUCUGAGAGGAUGACCCGCCACACUGGGACUGAGACACGGCCCAGACUCCUACGUGAGGCAGCAGUGGGGAAUAUUGCGCAAUGGGGGCAACCUGACGCAGCCAUGCCGCGUGAAUGAAGAAGGCCUUCGGGUUGUAAAGUUCUUUCGGUAGCGAGGCGUUAACUACAGAAGAAGCACCGGCUAACUCCGUGCCAGCAGCCGCGGUAAUUC